AUCUGGUAAAAGAGAGAGCCCACAAUACCAAAGGAGCAAAACCGGUGUAAACAAGUCAUCACAAAACUAAAAACCCUAAUUUUGGAAUAUCAUCACAGGCAGGACUCAAUCACAGUGAAUUUUUAGGGGUAAUUCGAUGGGUGAGACUGGAAAAAGAUCGCGUAGGGAUGAUGGGGAUAACAAGAACCAGAAGAGGAGGACAGAUAGGGACGAGAAAAACGAUGAUGAGCUAAUAGUUUACAGAAUUCUGUGUCCAAAUAAUGUGAUUGGAAGUGUUAUAGGAAAGAAUGGAAAAGUUAUAAAUUCAAUUAGGUCUGAGACUAAGGCGAAGGUCAAGGUGGUGGAUCCAUUUCCAGGUGCUAAGGAUAGAGUUAUACUCGUUUAUUGCUAUGUAAAGGAAAAGGAAGAUGUUGAGGUUGAUCAGGAUUUCAAUGAGAAACAACCUCUUUGCACGGCUCAGGAUGCUCUUCUCAAGGUUUAUACGGCAAUUGCAAAUGCUUUGGCUGCAAUUGGAGAAUCUGAUAAGAAGCGGAAGGAUAAAGAGGAGUGUCAGCUUCUUGCUCCUUCAAGCCAGUCUGCUAAUAUCAUUGGUAAAUCUGGUACCACCAUAAAGAAGUUGAGAAGCAAGAUGAGGGCCAAUAUUAAAGUAGUUGCCAGAGAUGCUAGUGAUCCAACACAUUCUUGUGCACUCGAGUUUGAUAACUUUGUUCUGAUAACUGGUGACCCAGAAUCUGUUAGGAGAUCACUCUUUGCUAUUUCUGCAAUCAUGUACAAAUUCACACCUAAGGAAGAAAUUCCUCUUACUACCAAUGUUCCUGAAGUACGUCCAAGUAUUAUUAUCCCUUCAGAUGUUCCCAUAUAUCCAGGAGCUGGGAUUUAUCCAAAUGUGGAUCCUAUUAUGCCAUCUCGUUCUGUUCCAUCUGUUUUGGGUACCACACAAAUACCAGAGCUUCCGGGUUAUGUGGAUGCAGGAAGCACAUGGCCUCUUUAUUCUUCUGGUCUUCCCAUGGUUUCUGGUUACAGUGGUGCCUCUCAAACUGAGGAAUUGACUAUUAGAGUGCUGUGUCCAACUAACAAUAUUGGUCGUGUUAUUGGCAAGGGAGGAGCUUCAAUUAAAAGUGUAAGGCAAACAAGUGGUGCUCGUAUCGAGGUUUGUGAUGCCAAAGCUGAUCGUGAUCAGUGCAUUAUCACAGUCAUUUCCACUGAGUCAGUGGAUGAUCUUAAAUCCAUGGCAGUUGAAGCUGUACUUCUGCUGCAAGGGAAAAUAAAUGACGAAGAUGAGGAUACUGUAACUUUUCGUCUACUUGUUCCAUCUAAGAUUAUUGGAUGUAUCAUUGGGAAAGGUGGUUCAAUCAUUAAUGAAAUCCGGAAGAGAACUAGAGCUGAUGUACGUAUCUCAAAAGGCGAGAGGCCCAAAUGUGCGGAUUCAAAUGAUGAACUUGUUGAGGUGUCUGGAGAAGUUAGUAGUGUGAGGGACGCCCUUAUCCAGAUUGUACUGAGGCUCAGAGAUGAUGUUAUAAAAGGCCAAGAAGGUAAUCAUAAUCCAUCUGCAGCUUUACGCGCUGGUGCUACUGGUUUCUCAUUGGCUCCAGUGUUGCCCAACGUUCCUCCAGCUGCUCCUUUGAGCUUUGAACAUAGGAUUGAAACUGGGAAUGGUGUUGGAAUGCGUUCUUCAGGCAGCCGAUAUGGUCAUGAGUCGCUCUCGAUAGGGGAAGAUACCUAUGGAACGUUCUCUUCAUAUUCCUCAAAGUUAUAUGGCGGAUUGCCUCCACCCUCAGCUGUAGAGAUGGUUAUCCCAGGACAUGCAGUCGGUAAAGUUAUGGGUAAAGGUGGCUCAAACAUAGAUAAUAUUCGCAAGAUAUCUGGAGCAGCUGUGGAUAUAAUUGAUUCCAAAUCCUCUAGAGGUGAUCAGAUUGCUAUAAUAUCUGGUACGCAGGAACAGAAGCGUGCUGCUGAGAACUUAAUUCAGGCAUUCAUAAUGGCGACAUGAGCAAUAAAGACACAUCUCCUUUCUGAAGGUGCGACCUUGACUAAAUAUCGAGGUUCCUUCUUCCGAAGUUCCUCUCUAGAAUAUGGUAGGUUCUCGUGCUGGAGAGUGUCAUUUGCGUAGGUUUGAUAAAUUUCUUCUCUGUAGGAACGUUUGCAAGUAAAAUUCAUGUAGUUGGACCAUUUGUUCUGUUUUCUGCCUAUAUAGGUUCAGCCAUGUUGCCUGAUAGGCUCUUUUCAUCUGCUCUGGUUAGAACUUCGUAGGACAUUAUCUUUCCUUUGUUAGUCUGUCAUCAGUUCUUAUCAUUUGAUGAAUACCGCUUCCAA
rnacentral:misc_RNA from 1 species